AUUGAACGCUGGCGGCAUGCCUUACACAUGCAAGUCGAACGGCAGCACGGGUGCUUGCACCUGGUGGCGAGUGGCGAACGGGUGAGUAAAGUAUCGGAACGUGCCUGGUAGUGGGGGAUAACUAGUCGAAAGACUAGCUAAUACCGCAUACGAUCUAAGGAUGAAAGCAGGGGACCUUCGGGCCUUGUGCUACCAGAGCGGCCGAGAUCUGAUUAGCUAGUUGGUGGGGUAAAAGCCCACCAAGGCGACGACCAGUAGCUGGACUGAGAGGACGACCAGCCACACUUGAACUGAGACACGGGCCAGACUCCUACGGGAGGCAGCAGUGGGGAAUUUUGGACAAUGGGGGCAACCCUGAUUCAGCAAUGCCGCGUGAGUGAAGAAGGCCCUCGGGUUGUAAAGCUCUUUUGUCAGGGAAGAAAAAGCUGUGGCUAAUAUCCACAGCUGCUGACGGUACCUGAAGAAUAAGCACCGGCUAACUACGUGCCAGCAGCCGCAGUAA
rnacentral:rRNA from 1 species